AGCCCUGAGGUGUUUGACAUAUUGGAUUGCAAAUCCAAAGAAGUAGGCUAGGAGCCUACCGGGGCUU
rnacentral:tRNA from 1 species